GACGAACGCUGGCGGCGUCGCCUAACACAUGCAAGUCGAACGAGGUCCAUCCUUCGGGAGAAGACCUAGUGGCGAACGGGUGAGUAACAACGUGAGGAACCUGCCCCGAAGACCGGGAUAACCCUCCGAAAGGAGAGCUAAUACCGGAUACCCCCACCGAACCGCAUGGUUUGGUGAGGAAAUGGAUUCCGCUUCGGGAGGGCCUCGCGGCCUAUCAAGCUAGUUGGUGGGGUAACGGCCCACCAAGGCAUCGACGGGUAGCUGGGUCUGAGAGGACGAUCAGCCACACUGGGACUGAGACACGGG
rnacentral:rRNA from 1 species